rnacentral:lncRNA from 1 species
AAUGAUGUCCAUCCAACAGGUGGAAGAAAAGCUAGCGUUGAAUUUGGAAAUAGUGAAACUAAAAUCAACCUACAAAAUUUUUUAAAACUUUGAUAUUGGUAUAAAUAGUGAAAUAAGGGUUACAAGUUGAUUUAAUCGAAUUACUAACCAUAAGCGAUCAACACUAUUCAAAUUACAAUAAGAAAUUAAGUAUGAUAAUCAUAAAGAAACUUUAGUUAUAUGAUCGGCUGAUACAUACAUCAUAUAUAUAACGGAUUACACAUUUCAUGGUGUUCACUAUCCAACAAACAUGUGCUACAAUGAUUCUUGAUUAUUUCCACAAUCAUGAUAGGCUUCAUACAAGAAUUUGCUACUUCGAAUUCGAAAUAAUGAAAUCAGAAGUAAAACCCAAUUCAACAAAGUGUAGAGGAGAUAAAUACUUUGCCAAACUAGUGAAUUGAGAGACAAAUAAUGUCUACACCGCCCCGAUAAAAUUAAAGGGCAAAGUGCGCUUAAUGGACAAAUGUUCGAGGAACUAUCACGUCCAGCUGAAUGGCAACGCAUGUUACUGGUAUUUAAGAAUACUAUUUUUUCAUUUCCAAAUAAAUUUAAAAAUGACAUCAUAAUACCAAAAAUUCAUACAAUUACAUAUUAUAAUAAACCAUGAUGCAAUGUCAUAUUCUAAAAAAUAUUUAAGAACACUACUUUUUCUUUUCCUGACUAAUCAUGUUCUAUUUAUGAAACCAACUACUCAUCACUUUUUUAGACUUGAAUAUUAUCUCAUCAUCUAAUUUUACAUCUUGAAAUUAACUUUAAAAUAUGACUAAUUAUAUAAAAAUAAUUUAAUUUAUAACUUAAUUAUGAUAGAUAAAGUAGAUUUAGAACCAUACUUAUAAUUUUCAUUUAGUAUGGAUGCUUUGAACUAUGAAAAUGUGAUGCAUAAUUUACGUUUUGUUGAUCACUAUAAGAAAAUCAAAGUUAUAGAGACUAAACAAUUUUCAGUACGAAUAUUCAGCUGACUACUGCUACAUUCGGUUCUCUAGCGGCGUUUUUUUUUUU